rnacentral:rRNA from 1 species
GUAACCUGUCUUGUAGCGGGGGAGUAACACUUAGAAAUAGGUGCUAAUACCGCAUAAGCGCACAGCUUCACAUGAGGCAGUGUGAAAAACUCCCGGUGGUACGAGGAUGGUCCCGCGUCUGAUUAGCCAGUUGGCAGGGUAACGGCCUACCAAAGCGACGAUCAGUAGCCGGCCUGAGAGGGUGAACGGCCACAUUGGGACUGAGACACGGCCCAAACUCCUACGGGAGGCAGCAUG